rnacentral:rRNA from 1 species
GACGAACGCUGGCGGCGUGCCUAAUACAUGCAAGUAGAACGCACAGUUUAUACCGUAGCUUGCUACACCAUAGACUGUGAGUUGCGAACGGGUGAGUAACGCGUAGGUAACCUGCCUGGUAGCGGGGGAUAACUAUUGGAAACGAUAGCUAAUACCGCAUAAUAUUAAUUAUUGCAUGAUAAUUAAUUGAAAGGUGCAAUUGCACCACUACCAGAUGGACCUGCGUUGUAUUAGCUAGUAGGUGAGGUAACGGCGCACCUAGGCGACGAUGCAUAGCCGACCUGAGAUGGUGGUCGGCCACACUGGGACGGAGACACGGCCCAGACGGCUACGGGAGGCAGCAGGAGGGAAUCUGGGGCAAGAGACGAAAGUCUGACCGAGAAACGCCGCGGGAGUGAAGAAGGUUUUCGGAUCGUGAAGCUCGGUUGUAAGAGAAGAACGGGUGUGAGAGUGGAAAGUUCACACUGUGACGGUAUCUUACCAGAAAGGGACGGCUAACUACGUG